rnacentral:tRNA from 1 species
GUUCCUCCUGUGGCACAAUGGGUCAGUGCAUUUGGCUGUUAACCAGAAGGCUGGUGGUUUGUGCCCACCCAGGGACA